GGUCAAGUGACUAAGCGUGCACGGUGGAUGCCUUGGCAGUCAGAGGCGAUGAAGGACGUGGUAAUCUGCGAUAAGCGUUGGUAAGCCGAUAAACAGGCAUUGACCCAGCGAUUUCCGAAUGGGGAAACCCACUCACAUAAGUGAGUAUUCCGGAACUGAAUACAUAGGUUCCGGGAGGCGAACCCGGGGAACUGAAACAUCUAAGUACCCGGAGGAAAAGAAAUCAAUUGAGAUUCCCCCAGUAGCGGCGAGCGAACGGGGAUUAGCCCUUAAGCUUAUGAUGGUUUAGCGGAACGCUCUGGAAAGUGCGGCAACAAAGGGUGAAAGCCCCGUACGCGAAAGGCCAUUGUAAGUGAAAUCGAGUAGGUCGGGACACGAGAAAUCUUGACUGAACCGUCUUCGGACAAGGGGGGACCAUCCUCCAAGGCUAAAUACUCCUGACUGACCGAUAGUGAACCAGUACCGUGAGGGAAAGGCGAAAAGAACCCCGUUGAGGGGAGUGAAAUAGAUCCUGAAACCGUGUACGUACAAGCAGUGGGAGCCUGACCACUUAAUCAUUUUGAUAAGUGGUUUAUGUCGCUUAAUCCAGAGUGAUUAAGUGGUCAGGUGACUGCGUACCUUUUGUAUAAUGGGUCAGCGACUUACAUUCUGUGGCAAGGUUAACCGCAUAGGGUAGCCGUAGGGAAACCGAGUCUUAAUAGGGCGCCAUAGUCGCAGGGUGUAGACCCGAAACCGGGCGAUCUAGCCAUGAGCAGGUUGAAGAUCAGGUAACACUGAUUGGAGGACCGAACCCACCGUCGUUGAAAAGCCGGGGGAUGACUUGUGGCUAGGAGUGAAAGGCUAAUCAAGCCCGGAGAUAGCUGGUUCUCCUCGAAAGCUAUUUAGGUAGCGCCUCGUGUCUCACCAUUGGGGGUAGAGCACUGUUUGGGCUAGGGGGUCAUCCCGACUUACCAACCCCAUGCAAACUCCGAAUACCAAUGAGUGCAAUCACGGGAGACACACGGCGGGUGCUAACGUCCGUCGUGGAAAGGGAAACAACCCAGACCGUCAGCUAAGGUCCCCAAGUAAUAGUUAAGUGGGAAACGAUGUGAGAAGGCCCAGACAGCCAGGAGGUUGGCUUAGAAGCAGCCACCCUUUAAAGAAAGCGUAAUAGCUCACUGGUCGAGUCGGCUCGCGCGGAAGAUGUAACGGGGCUCAAACUAUUCACCGAAGCUACGGGUACCUGACCACUCACGAGUGGUCAGGUGCGGUAGAGGAGCGUCCUGUAAGCCGUUGAAGGUCAAGCCGGGAGGCAGGCUGGAGGUAUCAGGAGUGCGAAUGCUGACAUGAGUAACGAUAAAGGGGGUGAGAGGCCCCCUCGCCGGAAGACCAAGGGUUCCUGCGCAACGCUAAUCGGCGCAGGGUGAGUCGGCCCCUAAGGUGAGGUCGAAAGACGUAAUCGAUGGGAAACGGAUUAAUAUUUCCGUACCCCUUUUGACUGCGAUGGAGUGACGGAGAAGGCUAGGCCAGCAAGGUGAUGGUUAUCCUUGUUUAAGGUCGUAGGCUGAGGGUUCAGGCAAAUCCGGACCCUCAAGGCCGAGAACCGAUGACGACUGAUCUUUAAGAUCGGGAAGUGGUCGAUGCCAGGCUUCCAGGAAAAACUUCUAAGCUUCAGGUCAAAAGGGACCGUACCCCAAACCGACACAGGUGGUCAGGUAGAGAAUACCAAGGCGCUUGAGAGAACUCGGGUGAAGGAACUAGGCAAAAUGGUACCGUAACUUCGGGAGAAGGUACGCCCCCGCCGGUGAUCGGACUUGCUCCGUAAGCUAGUGGGGGUCGCAGAGACCAGUUGGCUGCGACUGUUUAUUAAAAACACAGCACUGUGCAAACACGAAAGUGGACGUAUACGGUGUGACGCCUGCCCGGUGCCGGAAGGUUAAUUGAUGGGGUUACCUCACCACCAAAUUGCUCUUAUGUACUACAUAUAUGUGAUUCAAAGCUUACUAUGAAGCAUAUCAAGUCAAAGAGUUUGCGAGAGUUCGCGAAGCUAAACUAAAGCGCAACAAAAGAAUGCGUCAGAUGUUAAUGCAACGUGUGCGAGAGCAAUUUGGUGGUGAGGGAAGCUCUUGAUCGAAGCCCCGGUAAACGGCGGCCGUAACUAUAACGGUCCUAAGGUAGCGAAAUUCCUUGUCGGGUAAGUUCCGACCUGCACGAAUGGCGUAACGAUGGCCAAGCUGUCUCCACCCGAGACUCAGUGAAAUUGAAAUCGCUGUUAAGAUGCAGUGUAUCCGCGGCUAGACGGAAAGACCCCGUGAACCUUUACUAUAGCUUCACAGUGGAUCUUGAUGUUGCUUGUGUAGGAUAGGUGGGAGGCUUUGAAGCGUGGACGCCAGUUUGCGUGGAGCCAACCUUGAAAUACCACCCUGGCAAUAUUGAGGUUCUAACUCAGGUCCCUUACCGGGAUCGAGGACAUUGUGUGGUGGGUAGUUUGACUGGGGCGGUCUCCUCCCAAAGAGUAACGGAGGAGCACGAAGGUGCGCUAAGUACGGUCGGACAUCGUACGGUUAGUGUAAAGGCACAAGCGCGCUUGACUGCGAGAGGUACAUCUCGAGCAGGUACGAAAGUAGGUCUUAGUGAUCCGGUGGUUCUGAAUGGAAGGGCCAUCGCUCAACGGAUAAAAGGUACUCCGGGGAUAACAGGCUGAUACCGCCCAAGAGUUCACAUCGACGGCGGUGUUUGGCACCUCGAUGUCGGCUCAUCACAUCCUGGGGCUGAAGCCGGUCCCAAGGGUAUGGCUGUUCGCCAUUUAAAGUGGUACGCGAGCUGGGUUUAGAACGUCGUGAGACAGUUCGGUCCCUAUCUGCCGUGGACGUUGGAAGUUUGAGGAGAGCUGCUCCUAGUACGAGAGGACCGGAGUGGACGAACCACUGGUGUUCGGGUUGUGUCGCCAGACGCAUUGCCCGGUAGCUAUGUUCGGACAGGAUAACCGCUGAAAGCAUCUAAGCGGGAAGCCCCCUUCAAGAUGAGACUUCCCUGACUCCCAGAGAGUCCUGAAGAGCCGUCAAAGACUAUGACGUUGAUAGGCUGGGUGUGUAAGCGUUGUGAGGCGUUGAGCUAACCAGUACUAAUGACUCGUGCGGCUUGACCAU
rnacentral:rRNA from 2 species